rnacentral:rRNA from 1 species
UACGUAGGUGACCAGCGUUGUCCGGAUUUACUGGGAGUAAAGAGCGCGCAGGCGGUCGUUCAAGUCGAGUGUGAAAGCCCCCGGCUCAACUGGGGAGGGUCAUUCGAUACUGAUCGACUGGAAGGCAGGAGAGGGAUGCGGAAUUCCAGGUGUAGCGGUGAAAUGCGUAGAUAUCUGGAGGAACACCGGUGGCGAAGGCGGCAUCCUGGACCGAUACUGACGCUGAUGAGCGAAAGCCAGGGGAGCAAACGGG